rnacentral:rRNA from 1 species
GAUGAACGCUAGCGAUAGGCUUAACACAUGCAAGUCGAGGGGCAGCAUGAUCUUAGCUUGCUAAGGUUGAUGGCGACCGGCGCACGGGUGCGUAACGCGUAUGCAACUUGCCUUACAGAGGGGGAUAACCCGUUGAAAGACGGACUAAAACCGCAUACACUUGUAUUAUUGCAUGAUAUUACAAGGAAAUAUUUAUAGCUGUAAGAUAGGCAUGCGUCCCAUUAGCUGGUUGGUGAGGUAACGGCUCACCAAGGCGACGAUGGGUAGGGGAACUGAUAGGUUUAUCCCCCACACUGGUACUGAGACACGGACCAGACUCCUACGGGAGGCAGCAGUGAGGAAUAUUGGUCAAGGGUUGAGAGCCUGAACCAUCCAAGUCUCGUGAAGGAAGACAGUCCUAAGGAUUGUGAACUUCUUUUUACGGGUGUAACGGGCGAUCGAGUAUUGCAUUUAGUUGCCGUAAGAAUAAGCAUCGGCUAUCUCCUUGCCUGUGUCCGCGGUAUUUCGGAGAUGCUAGCGUUGUCCUGAAUUAGUGGGUGAAAAGGUUGCUUUGUUUUGUUUGUUUGUAGUUUGUAACUGAGGUGUUUAUGUUGUGUUGUGUUUGUAUGUUGUGUGUUUUUUUUUGUGCUGGGUGGUUCUGUGGCUGUCUGUGAAUGUUUGAUAUUUGUUGUGGCGUUGUUUUGUGUUGUUGUGGUUUUGUGUGCUGUGUGUUUUGUUUGGUGUUGUGCUAGAUUUGUUGUUUGUGUGUUUCUGGGAGAAUUGUAUAGUGAAUGUAUGUCUGCGUUGCGCCGUCCUGUGUUGUGCAAAAAAAAAAAAUUGUGUAUUUGUUGUUAUAGCUGUGGUGAGUAUGUGACAUAUGUGUUUGUGUGUGUGUGUGUGUUAUGGAGAUUUUAGUAGGUGUGUAAUGUGUGUGAUGUGUUGUGUGUG